GGGAACCACACAGUGAUCACAAGUGUCCCAGCCUGCCCAAGGGGGGAGGGAGUGGGGUAUUAUACACCAAUGCAUAGGCGGGGACUUGCUCCCAGGGACUGUGGCUUGCAGAGGACCAGUGCCACUCCUGUCUCUGUGUGCAGGGCCAGAAAAGGCCCUGAGCGAGGAGAUGCGAGAUGCUGGCGUCUGGAAGUGUAGAGACGCGCUAAUGAGCUCCCGGUGGGCCACACAGCAUCCUGGAUACAAAGGGCAGACUGGACCAGGAAAGUCAGUGAGCCAGCCUCUUCUGUAAGAGAUGAAGAUGCUGCUCCCUGAACAAUUCACUGCGUUCUCAAAGUCUUGAGAAACACAACUGCCGGUGCUGGAACCAAGAGAGGGUUUGUCCCCAGUUGCUUCUGUCUGUGACCUUCGCUUCCUUCUAGACAUCUGCUUGCCUAGUCCCUGGUGCCAGAGGGACAAGUGCCAACUAGGGGACAGGUGGUACCCUCUGCAGCAGGGCCAAAGUCCCGCAGGCAGAAGACCUGGCUGAGCCUUUGUCUGCUGUUCAUCUGCUGGGGAGUGGAGGACAGGCUGAGGAUUGAGCGCAAAGCCAGAGCCAUGGCACAGAUCUCCCAGCUGGAACCUGCUGCGUGACCCUCAGCGGCUCUGUUUCCUCACCCAUAAAAUGGAGAUGCUAACCUGUGCCCUGCUUCCUGCGCACGGCUGUUGUAAGGAUCAAGGGAGAUGAAAGCAGAGACAAAAGUUUUUGAAAAGUUGAAAGUCCUCUGUGGCUGUCAACUCGGAGAGGCACUAAUUACCCAGAGGUGAGUUUUCUGGCAGCCGGGGCUCUCAGAACACAGACCCCAACUGGCUAGUGGCUUUCAAAGGUCUGAUGGAAUUCAACACAGGAUCUUGGUUUGGGUUUUUUUAAAAAAAGAAAAAGGAGAAGGAGAAGGAGAAGAUGCAAUGCUCAAAAGCACAUUAUUGGGGCAACCGGCCAUAUUUGAACAAAGUCUAUCUAAUAGAUAAUAGUAUUGUCUUAAUGUCAAACUUGGUGAAUUUGGUCAUUGUAUUGCAGCUAUAUAAGAGUUUGUAACCAUCCCUAUGAGUUAGGGGAGGAAGGAUAAGAUCCAAAUGUCACGAUGCCUGCAGCUCACUCUCAUAUGGCUCAGCUACAAAAUAAUACCAACACUAAUAACAGCAGCAGCAAUACUGGGUAAGUAUCCUACUCUAAAAAUCCCAAAAUUGGAAAUGCUCCAAAAUCUGAAACUUUUGAGUUCUGAAACAAUACUAGAAAUGGAAAAUUCCAUACCUAACUUCACGGGAUGGGGCCCAGUCAAAACGCAGGUGCACUGAAAAAUAGUGUGUCAAAUUACCUUCAGGCUACAUGGUUAUGGUAUAUAUAACUACACAUGAAUUCUGCAUUUUGAAUUCAGUUCCAUCCAAAAGAUAUCUCAUUUUGGAUGUGCAAAUAUUCCACAACCCAAAAAAAUCUGAAAUACUUCUGGUCCCAAUCACUGCAGUUAAAGGAAAUGUGAACUAUAACAACAAUAACAUGCACAAUAAAUACGUGUGUGCUCAUAUACAGAGAGGAAAAAAUGUGGGAAAAUAUUAAGAAUUGUUGAAUCCUAAUGACUUGUGAAUAUAGCAAUAUAUACAUAUUGUUUUAGUAGUUUUUUCGUAAGCUUGAUUUUUUUUUCAAAUGGAAAGAUUUUUUUAAAAUACCGAUCAGUCAAUCAACCAUCUCCUUCCUCAGAAACAAGUGUCAGAGCCUCUGAGCCACUCUAGACACUGCACUAAUGUUGGAAACGGCACUUCCUGACCCCUCACUCACAGCUCCCUGGCUCAUAUUCAACGCAGACUUCUAGAAGACUUGGUUAUCUGAUUUGUCAGCCCAGAACAGAAUUAGAAAUUAAAAGGUAGGUGGAGGUAGUGGCAAGUGCAAUGACAUGGAAGAUGUGAGAGUUGACAUCCGGAUAUCAAGACGCCCCGCGGUGUUGGAGGCUGGAGCUAAAAGGCCUUCCCAGCACAGGAACGGAGGGGGAGGGGUGGCUCCUCAAAGAUCCCUGGGCCAGUAACUCCUCGGGCAGCCUAAAUUCGGGCCUGGGAAGUUUGCUUUACAGUACUCUGCUCCAUGCUGAGACUGCGUCGUUAUGGGAAAGGUGGGUUGUUCAGGGUCUCUGAUCAGAAAGAUAGGGAAACACAGACAUCAAAAACUCCGAAAACUUCUCAUUGUUCCUCGAAGAAGUAGCUAUGACAAAUGCCAUUGGUGGCCUCUGCCACAGCCCCCCCCCCUUCUUUCUUCCUGUCAGAUUUCAACUACUCAGAAAGACCAUGGCCAUAUAACUUUGUGGGACCUGAGAAGGAGGCUUCUGUAGAUCUGGGGAAAAAUUCUCCUCUGAUUAAAAAUGGCAUGUAAGGAGAAACUUCUCUUUAUGUCCUACUUUGGAUGUGAUUUAAUAAGGAUAUGACAUCUAGAGUUGGGGCAGCCCUUUUGUGAUCAUGAGGAAACAAGUUGAAGAUUAAAAACCAAUAUUCUGUGUAAGGAGGGGAGGAAUGGGAAGACCUUCCAUUUUUAAUGACCUGACUAAAAAGCAGAAUCAAUCAACCCUGCAACCAAACUUCUUGUCAGACAUUCUCAUUAUUUGAAUCGGAUUCAGUUUGCCAUUCUGUUAUUUGCAGCCAAAAACAUUCUACAUCACCCUGGGAGAGCAUGUGUUUUCCAGAAACAUUUAUUUCUGCAAGUCCUUUCAUUUCUGGAAUGCCUUACCGUGGAGAGGAGAGUUCAGAGAGCUUGAACAAAUUGUCAGAGAUGAGGGCCUCUCAAAACUCUUUGGAGAGGAAGUAAAUAUACAUGAAGUUAUUUUAAAAGCAGGUCAGCCUAACAGAGUGCAACAGUGAAGUGUAAUGUCACUUUGACUGGAUUAAGAGACUCCUGGAGAAGUGCUUGAUCAUGGGAGCACUAUAGGAAUCCACUGCUGUUCACUUAGGAGGUGGGGCCCAGCUGGUGAAGGUGGGUCCCUAGGGCAGAUCUCUCACUUGUGCUCCUCCCUGUACCCUGCUUCCUGGCCACCAGGAAGCGAGCAGCUUCGCUUCACUCACCCCACCCCCAUGAUGUUUCUGCUUUAGGACCAGCUGACGAUGAAUUGAAUCCUCUGAAAUCAUGAGACAAAAUAAGCCUACUCUCCUUUAAGUUGUAGGUAUCACAUAUUUGGUCUCAGCAAUGAGCAAGCUGACAAAUACACAGGGGUUCUGAUACUGUUGUUAUAGUUUUUGACAGGUCCUCUACACCAUUACUUCCUCAACUUGGCUGCGUCAUGAUAAUCAAGAACGUUUGUUAAGAAUACAGAUACUGAGGUUCCUUCAUUUCUGUAGAAUCAGAAUCCUGGGAGUCCACAAACCAUUUCUCCUCACCAAGCUCUUGAUGAGUGUGGUCAAUGGUCUUCCAUCAGACAGCCUCAGGAAUUGAACUCAGGACCUUGAGCUUGCAAGGCAGGCGGCAGCACCGCGGAGCUAAAUCCCCGGCCCUAUUAAUAUAUUUUUAAUUCAAGAAGAGAUACGACAUCAUCAGCAUCCCAGAAACCCCCCUUGCACCUAUUCUCAAUCAAUUACUUUUUAAAGACAACCAUUGUUUUGAUUCUUAUCACUGUAGAUAAGUUUUGCCUGUCUUUGAGUUGUGUAUAAAUGAAAUAAAUCACACAUCACACACUU